rnacentral:rRNA from 1 species
AGCAGCCGCGGUAAUUCCAGCUCCAAUAGCGUAUAUUAAAGUUGUUGCAGUUAAAAAGCUCGUAGUUGAAUUUCGGGAUUGACGUGAUGGUCGUGCCUUAAGGGGUAUGAACUGUCGCAGUUGAUUUCUCACCUUCUGGAGAAGCAUGAUGUCCUUAAUUGGGUGUCAUGUGGAACCAGGACCUUUACCUUGAAAAAAUUAGAGUGUUUAAAGCAGGCAUUUUGCUCGAAUACAUUAGCAUGGAAUAAUAGAAUAGGACGGCAUGGUUCUAUUUUGUUGGUUUCUAGGAUCACCGUAAUGAUUAAUAGGGAUAGUUGGGGGCAUUAGUAUUCAAUUGUCAGAGGUGAAAUUCUUGGAUUAUUGGAAGACUAACUACUGCGAAAGCAUUUGCCAAGGAUGUUUUCAUUAAUCAAGAACGAAAGUUAGGGGAUCGAAGACGAUCAGAUACCGUCGUAGUCUUAACCAUAAACUAUGCCGACUAGGAAUCAGACGAUGUUAAUUUUUUAAUGACUCGUUUGGC